ACUAAAAUCCGUUGGCUUUUUAGACCGUGAGGGUUCAAGUCCCUCUACCCCUA
rnacentral:tRNA from 1 species